UCUUGGGCUUAAAAAGGUUGGUGACCACUGCUCUAGAUUUUGUAACAUUCUAAAAACUCUUUAUUCCACAGAUAGCCUACUACAAGCUAGACAGUGUAUUCAGUAGGUUGUUUCAGAGGCAAAAAGUAUUGUAAGCAUUACAUACAACAAUGCAACAAUAAUAAAACAAUGCAUUGACAUAAAAAGGGAAAUUUAUUUUUGAUAUUUAAGUACUUUUAAAAGCAAGUACUUCUGUACUUUUACUUAUUUAAAGAUCUGUCUUUACAACUUUAAUUUGUAAUGGAGUAAUAUUUGACCAGUAGUAUCUGUACUUUCACUCAAGUAAUAGAGCUGUGUACUUUGUCCACUUCUGGUUACCACAGGUUUACAAUGGAUGGCCAUUUGGAUAGUGUGUUUAGCACACAGUUGAACCUCUCUACAGCACCAUUAGCUGCUGUGAAGUAGACAGAGGAACAAUGGUGACGAAUGUUCCUUCUUUCCAGAAAAGAGGCGAAUACAGCAGACGUAAACUGAACACCGUUAUCUGUAACUACUGUAUACAUGGAUUUCCAUGGCGGCUGAAGACAGACACAAAACCACAGAAUCUGUAGUGACAGUCCACUUUCUGCCAUGGUCCAUCUGGCAGCAGCACCGACUGGAGAGGAGCAGUGACUUGACAGUUUUCUCAUUGAGCUGACACACGUGGCUGGAACGGACUGCAUCAUGAACUUGAGUAUCCAUCUCUGGCCACCAAAAAAGAUCACAAAGGCAUUGUUUGGCUCUUAUGUCCUGAUUCUUUUGUCCUGAUGUCCUUUGUGUGCUAUGGAGACCAGCACAGAUCGAAGAGCAGCAAGCGCAAUCAGCUGUGAGCAUCAGAAGACAAAGUUAUCCUUAACAGAAAGUUCCUGACGCAGUUUAUAGUGCGGCAACAACUCCAGUCCCGUGGAUAAAGGAGGCCAACCACAGGAAUUUGUUUGGAAUUACUUUAAAAUACAAAAUAAAACAUAUUACAACUUCACAUACAACAGCAUAGCUAAAGUAAAAUAAUAUCAGGAUAUUGUUAUUUGAAUCACAUGGGUUUAGAUUAGUACACAGACUUCCUUUACUGUCUGCAAGUCAGCUAAGACCAUGCUGCAAUACAUUGUAACCAUGCAAAACAAAAUAUCAAAGCAACACCAUACUCGUACUGUGGACAACUAAAAUGGAUAACUAAAGGCCUUUAAUACAUUUCAACUCAAAUUCUAAAAAAAAUGCAUUCCCUUUAUGAUGCCACGCGAGUGGAAGCUUCCAUUUGAAGAUUUGUACUCCUCAAAACUUCACUUUUGCAGAGUGGUCUGGCACCUUACAGUUUAUGGUACAUCAGAAGAAGCCACAAUGGGAAUAGCUGGGGCCUCAAGGGACAAUGUUUAGUGUUGAGGCUGCUGGCUGAAAGCAGAGCGUGGGUGGAGGGGAUGCUGGAACAGCAGCAGUGUCACUGGGCCUCUUACCCUCCCAGAGGCCCUGAGGGUUUGAGCUUAUUAGAGAGCCUCCUUCAGACAGUCUGACUGGGAGGGGCAGGCAGAGACACGUGUCCUUGUUUGACCAUUAAGCCUGCUGGGCUUCUUAAGAAGUUUAUACUCUUUUGAGAGUUUUAUACAUUUCUCAGUAUGGAUAUUUCUAUUGUAACUGCAGAUGAUUAAAGUACCAAUUAUAUGACUUUAA